GGAAGGAGCCUUAUGUUCGGAAUAAGCUUGGUUGGUGGAGUUAAAGGGUUCACCCAGGGCGACGAUUCCGUUAGCUUGUUNUGAGAGGAUGAUUCAGCCAACAUUCGGGGACUGAGACACGGCCCGAACUCNUACGGGAGGCAGCAGUGGGGAAUAUUGGACAAUGGGGGGAACCCUGAUCCAGCCAUGCCGCGUGUGUGAAGAAGGCCCUCGGGUUGUAAAGCACUUUCAGUGAGGAAGAACGCNUGGUGGUUAAUACCCAUCAGGAAAGACAUCACUCACAGAAGAAGCAC
rnacentral:rRNA from 1 species